AUUUUUUUUCUAUUAAAGAAAAUGUGGAAGAUAUUUUAGUUAAAUAUUUAAUUUUCUUUUAUUAAAACGUAACUCACAAUUGUGAAGAAAAUGAUGUCUAAGAAUAAACUUUAAUGUCGUUUCUUCAUUUACAGAUUACACUCACUGUUUAGAAAAAAGGUUUAGGCAAUGCGACGACGUUUGUGUGUAUCUACAAGAUUUGUGUGACAAGGGCCUCCUAUGAGGCCACCGGUACCUAGUCAUUUGAGAAAAGUCGUAAAAUUUGUUGCUUGUUGUAAGAUUGUCAGAAUCAGACAAUCUGAUAAUGUCGUCGGUUCACCUAGUGAGAGGUCUGCCUAGCUAUAUCCUCCGAUUUUGUCGCGCAAAGAAAUCCCGGAGCAUCACUUGCUACUAUUUAAAAAUCAAAACAGAAAGUGCCAAAAACACGUGUUUUAGAGUAUGUAUUGGAAUAAAGAUCAUUCUUGAAUCGGACGUGUCAUCGUGUAUGGUGUCCACUAAGUAAUGCUGAACAUAGAAUGUGAGAUGCAAAUUGACUUCUAAAUGUAAGGAGAGGUGUCGGCCGCAUA